rnacentral:rRNA from 1 species
GACGAACGCUGGCGGCGUGCUUAACACAUGCAAGUCGUACGGUAAGGCCCUUUCGGGGGUACACGAGUGGCGAACGGGUGCGUAACACGUGAGUAACCUGCCCACACCUCUGGGAUAACGCUAGGAAACUGGUGCUAAUACUGGUUAUGUCCCCCUGCUGCAUGGUGGGGGUUGGAAAGCUCUGGCGGCUGUGGAUGGACUCGCGGGCUAUCAGCUUGUUGGUGGGGUAGUGGGCUACCGAGGCGACGACGGGUAGCGGGCCUGAGGGGGUGACAGGCCACAUUGGGACUGAGGUGCGGCCCAGGCUCCGACGGGAGGCAGCAGUGGGGAAUAUUGCACAAGGGGCGCAGGCCUGAUGCAGCAACGCCGCGUGCGGGAUGACGGCCUUGGUGUUGUAGACCGCUUUCAGCAGAGACGAAGCUUUUUGUGACGGUACCUGCAGAAGAAGCACCGGCUAACUACGUG